AUUUGCACUAUUUCUGCCAUUUCCUUUUAAAAUGUAGUUUCCCGAAUAAAAUUCAAUUUAUCAACGAACCGUUUUAAUUCUAACAAAUUGGUUAUUUUUAUAAGCCAAACCAUAUUCUGGCAGCAAUUAUUUUCAUCUACAAAUGCCGCGGGCAUCCACUCCACUCCAAUCCAUUCCAAUGGUCAACAGCCACUCGGACGUACAAAUAUCCGCAGACAGAUAUAGAAAGUUACCCGCCAAAGGGCCAUUCAAGCCGUCAUUCGGGCCAGCAGAGGUAAACAGCCAACGCAAAAGCCCUUGUGCAGCGUUGAUAAAGCUGAACUAUGACCUAUGCCUCGGACAUUCGGAUUUUCGGAAAACGGAAAAGGUAAAAAAUAUUACCCAAACUGGCCAACCGAAUGAUAAAUGAGGGUAGGGUCCUGCAUUUGAUUAUCAUUCGAACAAAUAUGCAGCUGAAAUUGCGGUGGCGGGUAAAAUUUACAACGAAAAUCGAGCAGAUUGCGGGCAUGGCAGGGUUUAAGGUAUUGCCAUCAGCCAGCAACCCCAAUUCACCUGAGCUUGUGUGGGUUUAGGCCAAGUCACGCUAUUAGCGAGCAAUGUAAAUAUUUUAUUGCCUGCUUUUGUGCGCUGCUCAUUUGCUCCUGCCAAUUGCUGACCGCGGGCACUUGUUUAACUUGCUGCGAUGGUGGACAAUGACCCAACCAGCAAGUCUUCUCGUCUUCGGCCCACAAUUCAAUUAAAGACUUAGCUGCACAUCGUGGGAACGCCUAUGAAAUGAAAGUGGUCUGUCACUCAGUUGGCAGGCAAUUCGGUUAAAAGCAGCCGGCCCUCACGGCUCGUCUAUCUUUUGAAGAGCAAAAACCCAUUGACAAUUUGCAUAAAUAAACCAUUUUACGUUA